rnacentral:rRNA from 1 species
CAGUCGCCACGGGAAUACGUAGGUGGCAAGCGUUGUCCGGAAUUAUUGGGCGUAAAGGGCUCGCAGGCGGUUUCUUAAGUCUGAUGUGAAAGCCCCCGGCUCAACCGGGGAGGGUCAUUGGAAACUGGGAAACUUGAGUGCAGAAGAGGAGAGUGGAAUUCCACGUGUAGCGGUGAAAUGCGUAGAGAUGUGGAGGAACACCAGUGGCGAAGGCGACUCUCUGGUCUGUAACUGACGCUGAGGAGCGAAAGCGUUGGGAGCGAACAGGAUUAGAUACCCCGGUAGUCCCUGUCUCUUAUAC